rnacentral:rRNA from 1 species
AACGAACGCUGGCGGCAUGCCUAACACAUGCAAGUCGAACGAGACCUUCGGGUCUAGUGGCGCACGGGUGCGUAACGCGUGGGAAUCUGCCUUUGUUUCGGAAUAACAGUUAGAAAUGACUGCUAAUACCGGAUGAUGUCUUCGGACCAAAGAUUUAUCGGCAAAGGAUGAGCCCGCGUAGGAUUAGGUAGUUGGUGGGGUAAAGGCCUACCAAGCCGACGAUCCUUAGCUGGUCUGAGAGGAUGAUCAGCCACACUGGGACUGAGACACGGCCCAGACUCCUACGGGAGGCAGCAGUGGGGAAGUAUUGGACAAUGGGCGGCAAGCCUGAUCCAGCAAUGCCGCGUGAGUGAUGAAGGCC